rnacentral:rRNA from 1 species
UGGGGAAUAUUGCGCAAUGGGGGGAACCCUGACGCAGCCAUGCCGCGUGAAUGAAGAAGGCCUUCGGGUUGUAAAGUUCUUUCGGUAUUGAGGAAGGUUGAUGUGUUAAUAGCACAUCAAAUUGACGUUAAAUACAGAAGAAGCACCGGCUAACUCCGUGCCAGCAGCCGCGGUAAUACGGAGGGUGCGAGCGUUAAUCGGAAUAACUGGGCGUAAAGGGCACGCAGGCGGUUAUUUAAGUGAGGUGUGAAAGCCCUGGGCUUAACCUAGGAAUUGCAUUUCAGACUGGGUAACUAGAGUACUUUAGGGAGGGGUAGAAUUCCACGUGUAGCGGUGAAAUGCGUAGAGAUGUGGAGGAAUACCGAAGGCGAAGGCAGCCCCUUGGGAAUGUACUGACGCUCAUGUGCGAAAGCGUGGGGAGCAAACAGGAUUAGAUACCCUGGUAGUCCACGCUGUAAACGUUGUCGAUUUGGGGGUUGGGGUUUAACUCUGGCGCCCGUAGCUAACGUGAUAAAUCGACCGCCUGGGGAGUACGGCCGCAAGGUUA